GUCUGGGUGCUGUAGUUUGUUAUCACGUUAGUCUCACACACUAAAGGUCCCCAGUUCGAACCUGGGCUCAGACA
rnacentral:tRNA from 1 species